rnacentral:rRNA from 1 species
GAAUAUUGGGCAAUGGACGAGAGUCUGACCCAGCCAUGCCGCGUGCAGGAAGACGGCGUUCUGCGUUGUAAACUGCUUUUAUCUGGGAAGAAAAAGUCCAUGCGUGGAAAAUUGCCGGUACCAGAUGAAUAAGCACCGGCUAACUCCUUGCCAGCAGCCGCGGUAAUACGGAGGGUGCAAGCGUUGUCCGGAUUUAUUGGGUUUAAAGGGUGCGUAGGCGGCUAUUUAAGUCAGCGGUGAAAGACAUCGGCUCAACCGAUGCAGUGCCAUUGAUACUGGAUAGCUUGAGUGUUGGAGGGGUACAUGGAAUUGAUGGUGUAGCGGUGAAAUGCAUAGAUACCAUCAGGAACACCGAUAGCGAAGGCAUUGUACUGGCCAACAACUGACGCUGAGGCACGAAAGCAUGGGUAGCGAACAGG